AGACGGAGGGGGCUAGCGUUGUUCGGAAUUACUGGGCGUAAAGCGCGCGUAGGCGGUCCGUUUAGUUAGGCGUGAAAGGCCUGGGCUCAACCCGGGAACUGCGUUUAAAACUGGCGGGCUAGAGUCCGGGAGAGGGUGGCGGAAUUCCCAGUGUAGAGGUGAAAUUCGUAGAUAUUGGGAAGAACACCAGUGGCGAAGGCGGCCACCUGGCCCGGUACUGACGCUGAGGCGCGAAAGCGUGGGGAGCAAACAGGAUUAGAAACCCCGGUAGUCC
rnacentral:rRNA from 1 species